rnacentral:sRNA from 1 species
UCCCUCCCAAAGCUACACGGUUGUCGAAGAAAGGAUAACCUUCCCCAAGAUAGAGGAGGACUGUUCUUUGGUCAAGGGUAGACGAGUAGGUGUGCUCCCCUGCUAGAACCUCCAAACAAGCUCUCAUAUUCUACGACAUUCACUUAUAGCUGUGGUCCUCAAUC